CCUAUGUCAAGUUCAGAAAAAUUAUCUCUUACAGAAGGGCAACUUAUAGAUCAAGAUGAUAGUACAAAGUACAGAAGUUUAGUAGGUGCACUCCAAUAUCUCACACCUAGACCUGAUAUCUCAUUUGCUGUCAACAAAGUCUGUCAGUUUCUUCAUGCACCCACUACAGUUCAUUGGACUGCUGCAAAACGUAUUGUUCGUUAUGUUAAGAAUACUGCAAACAUUGGUUUGAAUUUCAGCAAGUCAUCAUCUACACUUGUGAGUGCUUUUUUAGACUCUAACUGGGCAGGUUGUCUGGAUGAUAGAAGGUCUACUGGUGGCUUUGCAAUCUUUUUUGGACCAAACUUAAUAUCAUGGUGUGCAAUAAAACAAGCAACAAUUUCCAAGUCCAGCACAGAAGCAGAGUAUAAGGCACUAGCAAAUGCCACAGCUGAGAUUAUUUGGGUACAAUCCACGUUGAAGGAAUUUGGUGUCAAAAGUACUCAAGCUCCAUGCUUGUGGUGUGAUAACUUGGGUGCUACAUAUUUAUCUACU
rnacentral:rRNA from 1 species